CUUAAGGCCCACUCUGAACUCCCCAGAGAUUGGUCAGGAGCCUGGGUUCUAGGAACCUUCCUUCUUCUUGCUUCCCCUAAGGGAGGGCGAGAUCCUUGGUGUAGGAAUAGCUCUUAAGGCAGCAAAGGACACGGACGAUAGGUCAAUGGAAGGAUAAUGAGUGGCCCCCUGAACUAAUAAAUGAUUAUAAUGAUCCUGCUACAUGGGCUGAGGAUGGGACUUAUGAUGUUGAAUCGAAUAAUCGGGUUACAAGCUGUAGUUGAAAUUGUGACCAACAAAGCUUUUGGACAAACAGAAUACCAGAAUGUGGACUGCUAUCUAUCAGAAC